rnacentral:rRNA from 1 species
AUCGAACGCUGGCGGCAGGCCUAACACAUGCAAGUCGAACGAGUGGCGGACGGGUGAGUAAUGUAUGGGAAACUGCCUAAUGGAGGGGGAUAACUAUUGGAAACCGUAGCUAAUACCGCAUACCAUUAGUUCUGUCCAGAGGGGAUUAGCUAGUGGGUGGGGUAACGGCUCACCAAGGCGACGAUCCCUAGCUGGUCUGAGAGGAUGACCAGCCACACUGGGACUGAGACACGGUCCAGACUCCUACGGGAGGCAGCAGUGGGGAAUAUUGGACAAUGGGCGAAAGCCUGAUGGAGCCAUGCCGCGUGAAUGAAGAAGGCCUUCGGGUUGUAAAGUACUGUCGGCGGGGAGGCGGUACCCACAGAAGAAGCACCGGCUAACUCCGUGCCAGCAGCCGCGGUAAUUC